AUGCAGUGGGUCAGACUGACUGCACCUUGUGGGCUCCAUGCGACAUGCCACCUCAAAACCCCUGGCAAAUGCAAAGAAAUGUUAAUUGGUGAGACCCUCAUUAAUCCUGGUAGCAUACAGCCAAGCAUUGGCUGUACCUCCAGCCGCUGGGGUUGGGAUAGAAUGGAAUCCAUUACCCCUUCCAGCGAGAUCCCAAAUAACCACGCUGGGAUUUCUCUGGCAGUUGUACAGAUCCUGCUCAGAAUGCCUGUGGGAUCACUGCGGGGGGCUCUGUGGAGGGACGAGCCACAUCUCUAUGCUGACUGUUGCCAUCUCUUUCUGUUGAUAGAUCAUGCUGAUGUAUACAGAGUGUCAGGGGCGGACUGGAACUCUGAUGGAGCAGAGGAACCAUUUAGAAAUGUCUGUGCUUGGAGCACUAUUGAAUAUGAAUUCACCUGCCUCAAGUGUUGGAUUCAGAAUGAGAUUCUGCUGGGAGAACCUGACAGGACAUUCAGGUAUAGACACAACAAGUAUCUAGAAAUCAAUGCGAUUGCAUAAACUUGCUAAAACAAGGGUGAACUCAGGGGCCUUUUUAGCUUUAGAUAUGCUUUCCUCUCUAAAAGUAUGAAUGGAGUUAUGUGUUUGAAGCUUGUGCGUAUUCUCUCUCUCUCUCUCUUUUUUUUUUUAAUUAGUUGUUUGUCUUUCUGAAGUAAGAAGCAUGGGACUCUCACCUUGAUCACCCCAGGUGAUCGAGCGUUUCAAACACAAUAUUUUCAUUGAUAACGCUUCUUGUGGUACACAC
rnacentral:lncRNA from 1 species